GUAUGGGGCAAGCGUUAUCCGGAUUCAUUGGGCGUAAAGAGCGCGUAGGCGGAUUGUUAAGUCAGAUGUGAAAACCGGGGGCUCAACCCGCGGCCUGCAUCUGAAACUGGCAGUCUUGAGUCUGGUAGAGGAAAGUGGAAUUCCUGGUGUAGCGGUGAAAUGCGCAGAUAUCAGGAGGAACACCAGUGGCGAAGGCGGCUUUCUGGGCCACGACUGACGCUGAGGCGCGAAAGCUAGGGGAGCGAACAGGAUUAGAUACCCUGGUAGUCCUAGCCGUAAACGAUGGGCACUAGGUGUGGGGGGUCAUCGACUCCCUCCGUGCCGAAGCUAACGCAUUAAGUGCCCCGCCUGGGGAGUACGGCCGCAAGGCUA
rnacentral:rRNA from 1 species